rnacentral:piRNA from 1 species
UCACAGUGGAGGCCUCUAGGAUUUUGGAGCA